CUGGAAGUGGAUAUUCGAGAUCUAUCGGAAAGUUUUACCUUUAAGCAUUUCUGGUUGAUCUCUUCUGAAUUUAAUGAUCUCUGCGCUUAGACCUGAAACGCUGAAUUAAGGACCAGAAAAAACACUUCUAAGAAAAGCUUUUCAGUUGCUGGUUCCACUGGCUAACCCCCAGGGACACGUGUGCAGCAGCUCUUGCACCACUUCAGUGCUCAGCAUGCAGAUGCAAGAAUCAGUCCUGUGUGCUCAAGUGACUGCCACCUUUGUGCAGGUAUGUGUGCCACUUGUUACAGCGUACAUGUGCUUUAUGUUUAGAUAUCAAAGUCUGCCAGUA